rnacentral:rRNA from 1 species
AGCGAACGCUGGCGGCAGGCUUAACACAUGCAAGUCGAGCGGGCACUUUCGGGUGUCCGCGGCGGACGGGUGAGUAACGCGUGGGAACGUGCCCUCUGGUUCGGAAUAACUCAGGGAAACUUGAGCUAAUACCGGAUACGCCCUUUUGGGGAAAGGCUUGCUGCCGGAGGAUCGGCCCGCGUCUGAUUAGCUAGUUGGUGAGGUAACGGCUCACCAAGGCGACGAUCAGUAGCUGGUCUGAGAGGAUGAUCAGCCACACUGGGACUGAGACACGGCCCAGACUCCUACGGGAGGCAGCAGUGGGGAAUAUUGGACAAUGGGCGCGAGCCUGAUCCAGCCAUGCCGCGUGAGUGAUGAAGGCCUUAGGGUUGUAAAGCUCUUUUAUCCGGGACGAUAAUGACGGUACCGGAGGAAUAAGCCCCGGCUAACUUCGUG